rnacentral:lncRNA from 1 species
GUCAGUGAGUCGGGGAAGAAAGCCAACAAGGGGCGUGCUGCUGGGCUGGUUCCCCGGGAGCAGCUGGAGCUCUCCGGCCAUCAGACCGCCGAGGCGUGAGGUGGCCAGGCAUUUGUCCACCAGCACCGGUCACCCCUCAGGGGCUGAGCUUGCUCCCCAGCCCUAAAUCCCUGCACUCCGUGUUCUCCGGGGGGUGGGCUCAGCGCCUGCAGCAGAGAAGCCCUGAGGCGGGAGACGCAGGAGCCGGGUGCUAGAGGGCCUUCCUGCAGGUUCUCUGGUGGGCAGGGUGAGGGAGGCCCCAGCAGAGUCCGCUACGCUACCUCGCUUAAUUCUCACCAUCUUUAGAGAGCAGUAGCUUCCCCAUUUUGUAGGCAGAGAAACGGGUGCCUGAGAGAGAGCAGCCAGGGGAGAAAGCGGCGUCCUUGCUUGAGCACGGAGCUCCUGGGCCACCUCCCCCCACCGCCCCGUCUAGUGCCCUGGCCAGCCAGCAAGUGCUGAGGCAGCAUCUGUCGGGUGAGGAAACAGAGGCCCGGAGAGGCAAAGUGACUUGUUCAAGGUCACACAGCCACUGACUGCCAGAGUUGUGAUUUGAACCCACAUGGUCCUGUUCUAGGAGCUCCAUGCCUAACCACCACACCAGACCACCCUGCCACUCCAUGGGCAGCGUUACAAGCACACACUUUGGACACAGCCCCCUCUGUGGGAGACCUGCAUGUCUUACACGUGGACGGAAGAAGGCCAGGCCGGCCAGAGAGGCGGAGGACACAGAAGGGUGGCGGGGGAUGUGCUGUCUCCGGGAGACUGGUGACCAUCUGGGGCGAUGUCUGUGGACAGUCAGAGAGAGAGCCACCUAGGGAAAGGCUGGGGCGGAACUGAGACCCUGGACCAGGCUGAGACCAUGACGGGUGCUGUGCUGCCUACGUCGUGACAGACUCUGCCAGCAGCGCUCAGAGGUCCAGACACACAGGGGAGAAUGUGGCCAGCUGGGCUUGUCCAGCAGAUGUCAUGAAAGGAGACCAGAACAACCCUGACCCUGGAAUCUAAGCCCAAGAGGGAAGGCGGGGCAAGGGAUCUCUGAGGUGGGGGGAGGACAGCAGGGAGAAGAGGCCAGAGUGGCGGAGGUCGCCGGAAUGUGCGGGAGGGAAGGCAGCUGUCUGGAAGGUGGGGCCAAUGUUUCAGAGGUGGGGCGAUUAGGGGGGAUGGCAAGUCCAGGGUGUAGUCACAAUAAGGGUGACAGUCUUCCAUUAUGGAUGGCUCCAUCAAUGCUGUCGCGGCCCCGCCUGCAUCGUGGCUUUCACCAUUCCCAGCCAUGCAGACGGCUUCACCUGCAACCCCUGGACUUUCGGGCUGCUCACGGGGGGUUGGAAAAGCCCGGGGUGGUGAUGCCCUCGCGCAGUGGUUGGUGGACAAACGCUCUGCUUCCUCGCCCCUGAGGGGAGCAGCUUGGGGCCGUGGUCUACACUGUCUCCCCAAGGUGCCCAUGGGGAUUGAGACUCGAUUGCCCACAAUGGUAAGCUG